CCGGCGAUUUCCGAAUGGGGAAACCCAGUGUGUUUCGACACACUAUCAUUAACUGAAUCCAUAGGUUAAUGAGGCGAACCGGGGGAACUGAAACAUCUAAGUACCCCGAGGAAAAGAAAUCAACCGAGAUUCCCCCAGUAGCGGCGAGCGAACGGGGAGGAGCCCAGAGCCUGAAUCAGUGUGUGUGUUAGUGGAAGCGUCUGGAAAGGCGCGCGAUACAGGG
rnacentral:rRNA from 1 species